UGGGGAAUUUUGGACAAUGGGCGCAAGCCUGAUCCAGCCAUGCCGCGUGCAGGAUGAAGGCCUUCGGGUUGUAAACUGCUUUUGUACGGAACGAAAAGGUGCCUUCUAAUAAAGGGCGCUCAUGACGGUACCGUAAGAAUAAGCACCGGCUAACUACGUGCCAGCAGCCGCGGUAAUACGUAGGGUGCGAGCGUUAAUCGGAAUUACUGGGCGUAAAGCGUGCGCAGGCGGUUUUGUAAGACAGAUGUGAAAUCCCCGGGCUUAACCUGGGAACUGCGUUUGUGACUGCAAGGCUGGAGUACGGCAGAGGGGGGUGGAAUUCCACGUGUAGCAGUGAAAUGCGUAGAGAUGUGGAGGAACACCGAUGGCGAAGGCAGCCCCCUGGGCCUGUACUGACGCUCAUGCACGAAAGCGUGGGGAGCAAACA
rnacentral:rRNA from 1 species